rnacentral:rRNA from 1 species
UGGGGAAUUUUGGACAAUGGGCGAAAGCCUGAUCCAGCAAUGCCGCGUGUGUGAAGAAGGCCUUCGGGUUGUAAAGCACUUUUGUCCGGAAAGAAAUCCUUGGCUCUAAUACAGUCGGGGGAUGACGGUACCGGAAGAAUAAGCACCGGCUAACUACGUGCCAGCAGCCGCGGUAAUACGUAGGGUGCAAGCGUUAAUCGGAAUUACUGGGCGUAAAGCGUGCGCAGGCGGUUUGCUAAGACCGAUGUGAAAUCCCCGGGCUCAACCUGGGAACUGCAUUGGUGANUGGCAGGCUAGAGUAUGGCAGAGGGGGGUAGAAUUCCACGUGUAGCAGUGAAAUGCGUAGAGAUGUGGAGGAGUACCGAUGGCGAAGGCAGCCCCCUGGGCAAGUACUGACGCUCAUGCACGAAAGCGUGGGGAGCAAACNGGAUUAGAUACCCUGGUAGUCCACGCCCUAAANGAUGUCACUAGUUGUUGGGGAUUCAUUUCCUUAGUAACGUAGCUAACGCGU